UACGUAGGGGGCUAGCGUUGUCCGGAAUCAUUGGGCGUAAAGAGCGUGUAGGCGGUUCGGUAAGUCCGCUGUGAAAGUCCAGGGCUCAACCCUGGAAUGCCAGUGGAAACUGCCGAGCUAGAGUCCGGAAGAGGCGAGUGGAAUUCCUGGUGUAGCGGUGAAAUGCGCAGAUAUCAGGAGGAACACCAAUGGCGAAAGCAGCUCGCUGGGACGGUACUGACGCUGAGACGCGAAAGCGUGGGGAGCGAACAGG
rnacentral:rRNA from 1 species